rnacentral:tRNA from 1 species
GCCGCCGUAGCUCAGUAGGUAGAGCGCUGGCCUCGUAUGUAAAAUAAACCGAAAUCGCUGAGAAAGCCAGCGGUCGCGGGUUCAAGUCCCGCCGGCGGCU